UACAGAGGUCCCAAGCGUUGUUCGGAUUCAUUGGGCGUAAAGGGUGCGUAGGCGGCGCUGUAAGUCGGGUGUGAAAUUUCGGAGCUUAACUCCGAAACUGCAUUCGAUACUGCGGUGCUUGAGGACUGGAGAGGAGACUGGAAUUCAUGGUGUAGCAGUGAAAUGCGUAGAGAUCAUGAGGAAGACCAGUGGCGAAGGCGGGUCUCUGGACAGUUCCUGACACUGAGGCACGAAGGCCAGGGGAGCAAACGGG
rnacentral:rRNA from 1 species